GCCACUACGGUGUGCGUGCUGAGUUAGUCAAGGGUCACCGUAGGUCGUGACCCGAUGCCGUAGAUCGUCGAUCCAUAGAUCCACUCCAUCGUCCCACGCUUCCUCCUUGCGACCAGCUCCAACGCCGCGAAAGCGGUACUUCAACAUUAUGUUUCAAGGAGUUAGCAAACAUGGCUGAUCGCGAGACCGGCACUGUCAAGUGGUUCAACGAUGCCAAGGGCUUCGGCUUCAUCUCCCGCGAGAGCGGCGACGAUGUGUUCGUGCACUUCCGCGCCAUCCUCGGCAAUGGCUUCAAGAGCCUGCAGGAAGGCCAGAAGGUGUCCUUCAUCGUGACCCAGGGCCAGAAGGGCCUGCAGGCCGAUCAGGUGCAGCCGCUGUAAGCGGCCCGCCUGCCAAGGCAUCUGCUCAAAGCAGUUCGAAAAGCCCGGCGCAAGCCGGGCUUUUCUUU
rnacentral:other from 1 species